rnacentral:rRNA from 1 species
UUUUAUUUGAGAGUUUGAUCCUGGCUCAGGAUGAACGCUGGCGGCGUGCCUAACACAUGCAAGUUGAGCGAUUUACUUCGGUAAAGAGCGGCGGACGGGUGAGUAACGCGUGGGUAACCUACCCUGUACACACGGAUAACAUACCGAAAGGUAUGCUAAUACGGGAUAAUAUAUUUGAGAGGCAUCUCUUAAAUAUCAAAGGUGAGCCAGUACAGGAUGGACCCGCGUCUGAUUAGCUAGUUGGUAAGGUAACGGCUUACCAAGGCGACGAUCAGUAGCCGACCUGAGAGGGUGAUCGGCCACAUUGGAACUGAGACACGGUCCAAACUCCUACGGGAGGCAGCAGUGGGGAAUAUUGCACAAUGGGCGAAAGCCUGAUGCAGCAACGCCGCGUGAGUGAUGAAGGCCGUCGGGUCGUAAAACUCUGUCCUCAAGGAAGAUAAUGACGGUACUGGAGGAGGAAGCCCCGGCUAACUAGGGGCCAGCAGCCGCGGUAAUACGUAGGGGGCUAGCGUUAGCCGGAUUUACUGGGCGUAAAGGGUGCGUAGGCGGUGUUGCAAGUCAGGAGUGAAAGGCUACGG